UUUGUUAAUGAUAUUAAAAUUAAGGAGUGGAAAUCAUCCAGUUCCGAUAUAAACGUUAAUAUUAAUAGAAAAUGAACAGAUAGAGCACGAAAAAAGAAGAAGAAAUUGAGAAGUCAUCGGAACAAUUUGAUGCCAUGAUCUAUAUUUGCACAGUACAGUGGUACUUCGUACUUCGAACGCUUCAGAGUUCAAACGCCAAAUUCGACUAAAUUUCGCUUCGGAGUUCGAACGUCCUCCUGGAAUGGAAUAACGAGAAGAAUGAAAAUCCCAAAUAAUUACCCUUUAAUUAGGAUUUACAUUAAAUAUUGACAGACUCCAUACAGUUUUAUUUCAAAGGUUCGGAAAUUCCAAUGAAUCCACGUCUUUCAAUGUUGUCUCUUCGAUUCGGGUAAGCCAUCUCCUUUUAUUGAAACUAGAAUUGUUACUCUCCUUUUUUAUAUAACACUGAGUUCCU
rnacentral:lncRNA from 1 species